ACUGCACUCCAGCAUGGGUGACAGAGCAAGAUUCCAUCUUAAAAAAAAAAAAAAGAAUAUCUUCAGCCUUCAGAGCAGGCAAGCAGAAUCUGAGGUAGCCAGAGUCCCCUGACUAGCCACCUGUGUCCAUCAGCAGCUUCAUGUGACAUUCUAAUUAAUAUCAAUUUUAUGUGGACCAUGCUAAGGAUAAGAUUGGGAAGUGCUGUCUUAACCAAUUUUUAUUACUAGAGAGAUACAGUACUUUGAUUGGCCUUCCUUGAAGUUGGCUGAUGUCAAUUAUAUGUGAAUUCUAUGAAUGGACAGUCAGCGAAAGAGUGUAAUUCCUCUAAAAUGCCUUGGGUAGGUUGUUAGCAGAAUGAAGGAGUUUAAAACAAAUGGUCACUCAAUGCAGUGGUGAAGGUCUGAUUCUGUAUUUUAUUGUCAGAAAAUUGGAGCUCUUCUCGUGCUCUGGAAAUAAAAUAUCACAGAGCUUUAUGUUUGAAAUGUUUCUCAAUGGAUACAUUGACAAAAUAUUUGUAAGAAUGCUACCUUUUUUCUAACUUUACAUUAAAAUUAAAUGUUUGAGUAUUUACACCAAGCAAUUUGUAUUAGUUAAAAAUAACCAGGAAAAGAAAAGAAGAGGAAGAACUUGAAGUGAACAUUUUCAAGGAAAGUGUAUCCCUGUGUGAAAGCCUCCACUUCAUGGGCAUGACAAAUACCCCGUGAUGUAGGCCUCCGUUAUUUAUAGGCCUGGAGCAUGCUUUUAACAGUCUGGGGAACCCCCAGGGAAAUUGGUUUCUUAGGAUUAUUGCAAAUAAGAUCUGAUUAGUUAAUUAUUCCUUUGUCUGAAAGAGCCCAUUAAAUUUGAUGAAGGAAUCUGUCAAUACAUUAAAAGGUACAGCUGAGCGAAAGGUGAGAACAAAUGCUGACAAGUAUGGUAAACAUAAGACACACCUGACAAGACACAGGACAAGUUAAGCAAAUGGCUCAUAAAGCUGAUUUAGCAGGAGGACAGUAAAAUCCUUCCUUUCAAGGGAUUUGCCUUUUUACUAAGCAUUUAUUUGGAGACAGGGUCUACUAAGGAAGGUGGACUGCAUGGUUUUUACUGGAAUUUACCGACAUCAAUCUCGUAUAAUAAUUCUUUAUAAUGGCACUAAAUCUAUUAAGUUCUUACAGACAUUUUCCCUUUACAUAAACAUUUUCUUUGACUAAAGUCAGACAUUCACUCUUUCUCGGCCAUAAUAAUUAUUUUUGACAGAUACUCUUCUGUAUCUCUUUUAAACAUCAUACAGAAUUGGGUUUCUGUUGUGGUGAAAGUCACCAUAAGGUAAUGAUUUAGAAAUAAUUACGAUGAGAAAUUGGCCUGGGGAAGACCCAAAAAACUUCACCCUCUGCUAAGAAAUUGUAUAGCUACUGUUUCAUAUUCCUCUAGUUAUAGAUGAUUUCAUCCAAUAACUACUAUGAUAAUAGUUAUUAUUCAUAUAAAGGCCUUUAAAAGGAUGGAGAUUUAUUUUGUUUUUUAAAUAAGCACCCAGGCAAUUAGAUGUUUAUUCAAAACAUAUCUGAACCUCAUUGGUCUGGAAAAUGCUUAAAUUCAUGAACGGUUGCACAAUUUGUAGCUCUGGAUCCCUUUGGAAGACAAUGAAACCAGACUUCUUGGUAACAUUUUAUAGUAGUCUGAGAUUUUCUCAUUGUACUGUCUAAUGAGAUAUCUACAUGUAUUUUGUUUUUUAAGGCUGUGGUGAAUGUCAAGUUAUGCCUGUGCUUUGGCCGUCAUUGCUACUGGGCAAAGUCUGUUCUCUAAGUUAUACCCCUUUAUUAACAACAAUGUAAUGCUAGAUGCUGAAACAAAUAAACCCCAAAUUCCUUGUGGCUUAACAUAAUAUAAAUUUAUUUCUCACUCAUAUCAAACUGAAGUGGCAGCUGGGGCUCUACUCUCUGCAGCUCAUAGGGACCCAGUUUUAUGAAACACUCAGCGUCCAAGAUCACUCAGCCUCGAAAUCCAGCCUGCCGAUGGGAAUAGAGAGAGUGGAAAUCUCAUGGGAAAAUAUUGUUAAAAUAUCACUUCUGCCAACUUUCCAUUCUCCAGGAUUUAGUCUCAUGUCUCGACCCAGAUGUAAAUGGUCUUGGAAAAUGUUCCUUCCUGGGGGAGGGGAAGAGGCUCCUUCUCAGCAACUAAUGCAUACUGGGAAAGAAAAGCAGAGAUAUUUGGUGGCCAGCUAGCAGUCUCUGUCACAGCCUCUGCAUAACACUUUGCUGGAGCUACAGUUGCUUAUGACAUGUGUGUCUGAAUGAAAAACUGCCAUGGAAAUAAGUCUCCAAUCUUCAGUGGGCUUUCCAUUUUAGGCAGCGAGGAGAGCUCCAAAAACAUUUUGUUAACUCCCAGUGUUUUAGGGACAGUGAAAAGAAAAAUCUUCAAAUUCCCACUAGUCUAAUGGCUUUGGAGAUCCCUAUAACCUCUGAGCACAUUCUGCCUUCAGCAUUGGCCAGGCCUGGAGACAGCGACCAGAGUUCCAGCCUUCAAGUAUGGCAGACCUAUAGGUUGAGGGUGCUGUUUGGUUUUUCAGUGGCCUUAAGGUAUCCCCGAAUUCGCCAUUGGUUGGUAUGGGCUGAAGAUUUAUGUUAAAGUACUUAGUUUUGACAAAUUAAACUGACAUUAUACAUUUUAAAAACUGAAAAUGUUUCUAUGAAAGGAGGUUGAUGUUUUAAGUAAGCCAGAUGACUCUUUUCUCAGUUCACUCAGUAAUAAAAUUAUUAAUAGAAAUAGUAAAACUGCUUAGAUAGGGCCCUGCUCAAAGCAUUUUAGAGGUGUUAACCAAUUAAAUCUUCAAAAUUACCUUGUGAGGUACCAUUAUUACCUCCGCUAUAUAAAUCAGCACAUUGAGGUUUGGAAAUUUGCUGUGUCAGAGCUCCAGGAAAUGGUAUACCCAGCAUACUAACCCAGGGAGUAUGACUUGCUGGCUUAAGCAACCAGGCAGUUAACCACUACACUGGCUGUCUCUUCCUUGGCUCCUUGAUAAGCUGGUAAGAUGAAACCCAUUGUUAUAGUGACCCUAUGUUUUCUAUUUUAUGAGAAAAACCAGUGUGCUAAACUGGUUCUCAUGAGUAGUACAGCGCACUAAUAUUUCUAAUUGUGGGGCCUAGAUAUGGCUUAAAAGGUGCAGUGAGGAUGUGGGACUGGGAGGUGCUAAUCAUGAGAUAGAUAGCAGGUAUUAAAGACAUUUGUUGAGAGAUAGGCAAGAUGAGGUCAGUUUACUAUGGAGAAGAGCCAGCUGAAAUUUGCAUGUAUGUGCAUAUACAAUACAAACCAAAGAACUGCUGGCAGGAUGCUACAUUCCUUUAUGGUGAGGUAAGGCUAAAAAUGUAUGCUUGUCUUCCCUCCAACACCGGCAGUGAAAUAGCUUGUUUUCUGCUACCUCCUUUCCAAUCUAGCUCCUUCACAAAGCAUGCUACUCCAUUUUGGUGUAUCUUUCUGUUGACUACCUCUGUGAUUUAUUUAGAAAUUAUUAAUCAGAUGCUGUCUUCUUAAAAAUAUAAGUGCUCAUGUAAUUUCUCUUAAACAAGAUUGCAAAUGCACUGAAGGUAGAAAGAAACAUCUUUUACUUCCUUUUUCUCUAUAUAUAUCAGUUCGUGGGAUACUUAAUUUUCACUAAGUGUAUUUACAGAGAACCAUAUGGAGUGGAAAAUCAUAGCCAAAUUAGAGCCUUGUAGUCAGUCAAUUCUUUCUAAAAUGCCCACUGUGUUAUAGUUUGCUUUGAUUCCAAAUUAUCAGUGUCCUUCUCAGAUGCCUGAAUGUAGAAAACAUAUACCUCAGACAAAAAAGUUUUCUGGACAAACUGCAGCAAAGAUGUAUACUUUGUUGGCUGGAAAAUCUUCUGAUUCGACCAUGAGGGCAUCUCUAAUUGUCACAGCUGGUAGAAGCAGAAAAAAUGAAUAAGAUCAAGAUGCUUGGACUUUUUGCUGGAACACAGAAAAAGCAGGACACAGUAGAGUGAUGCCUGAAUGACCACAUGUGUGCUGGGGAUGGCUUGGGACUCCCUGCCACACUGCAAGCGAUGUGACCAAGUAAUCAUUUACAGCUUUGUCCUUACUUCAAGCUUGGCAUGGGAUUCAAACACUUGUUUAAAAUUAUAGUAGACUGUCCUAUUUAAAUUUAUUUUUAUACCGGCAUUUUAUAAUGUAAUUUGACAUGCAAAGUAGUUAUAUAUAUUUUAAGUAAAUUGAACAAACAGAAAAGGGUACAACACUUUGGCAAACAAAUAAACAUCUGUGAGCGCAUUUUUCCCACUGGCUGGUUAUAGAACACAAUUCCAAUUACUUGUUGCAGCAAUUAUCUAGAAAAUCUUUUGGAAAUGCAAUUUUAAAAUGUUACCAGAAAGGGGUCCCAUUCCAGACCCCAAGAGAGGGUUCUUGAAUCUCCUGCAAGAAAGAAUCAAAGAGAGUCCAUAGAGUAAAGUGAAAGCAAGUUUAUUAAGAAAGUGAAGGAAUGAAAGAAUGGCUACUCCAUAGGCAGAGCAGCAGCUUGGGCUCCUGGACUAAGGAUACUUAACAGUUAUUUCUUGAUUAUAUGCUAAACAAAGGGUGGAUUAUUCAUGGGUGUUCUGGGAAAGGGGUGGGCAGUUCCCAAAACUGAGGGUUUCUUCCCUUAUUAGACCAUACAGGGUAACUUCCUAACAAUGCCAUGGCAUUUGUAAACUGUCAUGGCAUGGCUGGGAGUGUCUUGUAGCAUACUAAUGCAUUAUAAUUGCGUAUAAUGAGCAGUGAGGACAACCAGAGGUCACUUUUGCCGCCAUCUUGGUUUUGGUGGAUUUUGGCCAGCUUCUUUACUGCAAUCUAUCUUAUCAGCAAGGGUUUUGCAAUCUGUAUUUUGUGCUGACUUCCUAUCUCAUCCUGUGACUUAGAAUGUCUAACCUCCCGGAAAUGCAGUCCAGUAAGUCUCUGUCUUAUUUUACUCAGCACCUGUUCAAGAUGGAGUUGCUCUGGUUCAAACACUUCUGACAGAUGCAGUCAAAUACUGAGAAAUUAAGCUCACAUCAUAUAACUGAAGUUGAACAAUACUUUUCUAUCACCCUGGGUCAGGUACAUUCCUAAAUAAACUGGAACUUACAUCAGAAGCCUCGGAAAAUUAGGAGAAUAAAAUCCAUUACUUUGUGUAUUAAGAAGCUCAAAAUCCCAUAUUUGAUUCACUAUAGAAUUACUUCAGAAUCUCAUAUGUUGUUUUUGUUUAAGCGAAAUCUGAAAUAUAUUAGAAAAUACCCACUGCUGUGUUGUCUAUUUGCUUUUCUCUUUCUAAAUGCCCUUUUGAGAAAUGCUGCAAAAAUUUUGUCCUGACAUGUGGGGGCCCAACUAUUUCCUGCUGUACUCAGCUUGGAGGACAUAGCCUCUAGGUUAUACUCUUUUGAAACUGUCCUGUUGAAAUGCAUGUUUUGAUUUUGGGAUUUUCCAGAUGCUUCAUAAUUAGGUCCCAUGUGUUAAAACUUGUGGAAAUUCAGUAUGUUUCUCAAUGUGAGGCAUCUAAGUAGUUCACAAAUUUAAGGCAAUUAGUCUAUUAACUGGGAUAAGUUGAUUAAUUCUAUUAAAUUCCAUUGUUUACAUAUUACAUGUUUAAUCUAUUCCCUAUUCUAUGCUUUAUUUUUUUCAUUUGUCUGAAUUAUUAAAAGUCACUACAGUUUAACAUUUUGAACAAUUUACUUUUUAUAUAUAAUUAUAUCCUUUGGCUAUUUAAACUGAAGACACAUUAUAUAUGUAAAUCAAAUUAAGAAAAAUAAAUAGAUAGUGUGUUCACUUACAACAGGAGGCUAUCCCUGUGCUAAAACUUUCUGCUUCUUUUGAGUCUCAGAAUUGUGGAAUCACAUAAUAUUUUAAAAAAUCAGAAAGAACUUUAAAUAUCAUGUUCACAGACUUUCUCACUUUCCAACAAGAAAACUGAGACCAAGAAUGUUUACCAGACAGGUAAUGCCUGAAUUAGUCCUAGAAUCCAGAUUUCCUUAUUAUUUACAUGAAGUCCAGAAACAUACCAUAUGUAUUAAACAUAAUGGUUUAAAACAUUAAUGAAGGUUGAUUUUGAAAUUGGGAGGGUUCAUAUAAGUCUAAAAUUUUAGUCUUUGCUUAGGUAUCCAAAACUUUAUUGCUUUAAAGUUUCUUAUUGGAGGAAGCCACUUUUCAGUCACUUUGAUAGGCACAAAGGAUUUUGCAGUGAGGAAAACUGAUAUAAUCAUAAAAAUAAUUAUGAAAUUACAAAUGUUAAUUUGUAAAUACUCAUUCCCUUUUUCAAACUAAUUGCAGGUACCUCUUACAGAUCUUUUAAACCUCAGCUCAAAUCUCCUUUCUUAGAAUACCUUCAGACUAGGUCAGGUCUCUGGCCAUGCACCCUUGUGUUAUUGAACAUGUUCUCACUCAUCAUUAUGGGAUGCCACAAGCUAUGUUUGAAGCAUAUACUCUAGAUCAUGGAGAGCCUUAUAGGUCAUAGUGAGGACUUGGGUUUUUCUCUUUAAAUAACUGAAAGCCAAUUGAAAGGUUUUAAUACUAUCUAUGUUUUUAAAAGAUUGCCCGGGUGCCUUCUUGUAAGGCAGUAAGCAUGGUCGAGGGAAAUCCUUUAGAAGACUGUUGCAGUAGCACAUGGGAGACAAUGAAAGCUUCUUCUACGAAGUCACCCUGGAGGGAGAAGUGGAUGAAUCUGAUAGAUAUUUAGGCAGAAAAUGGGAAGAACAUAGAUGGGAAAAUAUUGUGGAUGUGGUGGAUGGCAAAAAGGUGACAAUAUUUGCAGGUCAGUUAGAGGUGAAGCUUUUCAUUGCCCUAUUGAUUGGGGACCGGCCUUGUGGCCAGCUUUGGUCAAUGGGACAGCAGAAGAUUGAGGUCUGAAAAGCAUUUGCACAUUGGGGAUCUCUCUCACUGAGCAUGAAACAGCACUCUGCGAACAACCAGGCUGGCCGGCUGGAGAAUGAGAAACCACGUGAAGAAAAGCUUUCAUUGGUACAGCUGCGCUAGCCAAGACCCCUGAAAGAGCUUUGCUGAUAACAGCCAUCACAGACCAUAUCAGAAGGCCUGCCAGGCUGAAAACAGCCCAAAUUGCUGACCUCCUGCAUUUUUAACUAAAUAAAUGGUUGUUGCCUAA